GUGCAGAUCGUGGUGGUGCAGACCGUGGUGGAGGAGCUUCCUGGUCGUCUGGAGACCGUCCUGGCUGAGUCUGGCUCUUCGUGGGGCAGAGGCGGCUCGUGCGUUUGGCUCCAGCUGUUCUCAGGAAGAACUGCAUCCUGGUCAUGGACGAGGCCACGGCCGACAAGGACCUGAGGUCGAGCUGAUCCAGCAGACCAUGAGAGAAAAGUUUAAAGAACGCACCGCGCUCACCGUCGCACGUCGGCUCAACACCGUCAUCCACAGCGACCGCAUCCUGGACCUUUAACCCAGAGAGAGUGAGCCUGUCCUGGGUUAGACAGUUCAUGAUGGUCCCCUGGUUCUCCACCUCCAGGGAGAGCUGAGUCUUAAACCAGUUCAAAAUGAGCUUCAAAUAUCAAGCAGGAGUUGGAUGAAUCAGCGCGUACGCUGAGCCCUACACUCUGCUACACGACCACGACAGUGUCUUCUACAAAAUGGUGCAGCAGACGGGCAAACGGGAGGCACUGGCGUUACUAGAAGCAGCUGAACGGGUGAGUGAGCCACGGACCGCACCCGACGCAUGUCCAGGGUCGUUCCUGGACGAGGGUCGCUGGUCCUAAAGCCUCACACUGUCAGGAUUAGAAAUAUAGAGUAAAAUGUCUGUGUAAUCCCUGAGUCGUCCAGGUCUGGUUUGAAGCAAAAGAUGAAGUUCAAUCUGUCGUCUGGACAAAACUUUUGGCUGCUCAUUUGUGGUCAGAUUACUGCUGGACACUGCCUUAUAGCUCCUCUCUUCAGACUGUUGACUACACUGAAACUACAAACACCUAUUGUUUACAGUUUGUUUUUUUCUUGGCUCGGGCUGUAAACGGUAAGUGUGUUAGUUUGAGUGUAGUUCGCUCCUCUCUUCAGACACACAUUAUUUGCGAUGGAUCAGACCUGGACAACUGGGGGACGACAGACGGGCUGCAGUGUCACACCCACAGUUUAACAACAGUAUUAUUAUUGGUUUGGACCGUUUACUUCAGGGGCCAACUCCUGAUCUCACCAUUUUUAGACAUGAAUGUGUUGAUUUAAUGUUGUAAACGAUGGAGGACUAUCGGACGCCUCGAGGAGGAAGCUUCACCAACACUGUUCACAGUGAGAGAGCUGCUGACCUCCACUGGGGUCGGGCGGUGGAAGGACUUUGAGGAUCUCCUCAAUCCCCCCGUCAUGUCUUCUGAGGAGGACUUGUCCAUCACCCUGGCGGAAGUCACCGAGGUGGUUGGCGAGCUCCUCAAGUCUCUGGAUGUUGUGGGUCUUGGCUGACACGUCUCUACAACAUCUCAUAGCGGUCAGGGACAGUACCUCUGGACUGGCAGACCGGGGUGGUCCCUCUGUAUAAGAAGGGGGACCGGAGUGUUCCAGUUACAGGGGAAUCACACUCCCCCUUCCCGGUAAGGUCUACUCCAGGGACUGGAGAGGAGAAUCUGACUGAUAGUCGAACCUCAGAGGAGCAGUGUGGUUUUGGUCCCGGUCGUGGGACACUGGACCAGCUCUAUACUCUCCAUCGGGUCCUCGAGGCUCAUGGGAGUUUGCUCAACCCCAGGAGUAAAGUUGACAAACAGGCCCAUUCAGUCAAACGAGUAUUAAACUCCAGCAGAGGCUUUAGGACCACGUCCCUGUAGAGUCGACUUUAACGCCU